CAAGCAAAGGGCUUGUAAGCCUGCAGUGUGCAGCCCAAGGCUCUGGGAUCCAUGCUGGUUCCCUUCUUGCAUUUUUGGUCAGAAGCACUUCUGAUUAUAAGAUGCCCUUAGGUUUGGUGUUGCUUUCAUUCAUAAAGGACGAAGACAUGAAGAGAGUUCACUGAGAAGAAGAAAAGAAAAAGAGUAUUAAGAGAAGAAGAGUACUUUCACACUGGUAUUUCUGCAGCUCUCUCUUCUAUCCCAGAAGAGGAGGAUCUCAGUCUCAGGAGGGGCUCAGAGGCCACAGAUGGUCAGUGAAUGAAUGCUCUCCUGCACCUUUGCUUUUACU